UAGACUUGCUGUACAACAGAUUUAACAGA
rnacentral:sRNA from 1 species